AAUAAAUAUAUCCAGUCUAAGUUCGUAAAAUUAUAUAUUAAUUCAAAACAUUUUUAGAUUUAGUAUAGGUGAUAAAAAGUUAAUAAAUAUUUAGACCUGAGAAAAGUACCGUAAGGGAAUAAAAUAAAUUAAAUGACAGAAAAAUUUAAUAUUUGUACCUUUUGCAUCAUGGUUUAGCUAGAUAUAAAUUUAUUCUUAAAUUUCUCGAAAUCUAAUGAGUUAUUUUUAUUCAAUAUUUUAGUAUAAAAGAGUAGUUGUAGCAAAAACUUUCUUAGAGAUAAAAAUGGAAAUGAAAUUUUAUUCGUAUUAGAUGAUAGCUAGUUUUUCUAUAAAAGUAUAUAAGUGCUUUAAAUUAAUUUAAUUUUUAUAAUUUCUGUUAUAAAGAAGAUUUAGUUUAAUUAGAUUUUUGAGGAUAAGCUCGAAAAUUAAAAUUACAUUUGCAUUAUAUUUUUAUUAAAAUUUAGGCUUGAAAAUAGCUACAAUCUUGAGUUUGUUAUAAUUCAUUAAUUAAUUCAAAAGAUAAUUAGUUUGCUUAUGAACAUAGAAAAAAACUUAAUAAUUAAAUUAAGUUGUAUUAAUGCUAAAAUGAGUAUUAUAAUACUUUAUAUUUUCUUAACAAUUUAUUGGUUAAGAUUUAUAGUCAUUUUUUAAAUAAAAAUUAUAAAAAGGAACUCGGCAAAUACUCAUUCUGCCUGUUUAGCAAAAACAUGGCUCCUUGAAUCUAAAUAAUAAGGAGUCGGACCUGCCCAGUGAAUUUUUAACGGCCGCGGUACUCUGACCGUGCAAAGGUAGCAUAAUCAUUUGCCUUAUAAUUGAAGGCUAGUAUGAAUGGUUUGACAAGAAUGAAGCUGUCUCUUUAUAAUUUUAUAGAAUUUUAUUUUUAGGUGAAGAAGCCUAAAUAAGAUUAAAAGACAAGAAGACCCUAUCGAGCUUGAAAAAAGUUAGUAGGAUUGAUUAAUUAAUAUUUAUUAAAAAAUUAUCUAUUAUAUAUUUUAGUUGGGGCGACUAAGGAACAUUUAAAGCUUCCUUUACAAAACUAAUAAAAUCGAACUAGAAUUGAUCCAAAAUUUUUUGAUUAAAGGAAUUAGUUACCGUAGGGAUAACAGCAUUAUCUUUUUUAAGAGCUCAUAUCGAAAAAAAGGUUUGUGACCUCGAUGUUGGACCAGAAUAUCCUAAAGGUGCAGCAGUCUUUAAGGGUUGGUCUGUUCGACCAUUAAAAUUCUACGUGAUCUGAGUUCAGACCGGCGUGAGCCAGGUCAGUUUCUAUCUUUAAUUAUUAUGGUAAAUUUAGUACGAAAGGACCAAUCUACCGUAAAAAUAUAUUUUAAACUGAUUAAAUCUAAUUUAAAUUUAAAUCAAAUUAGCAAAAAUUAAUGCAAUUGACUUAGGAUCAAUAGAUAUAGGUGAAAUUCCUUUAUUUGAUACUGUUUAGCUUAUAUAAAGAUGGCAGAUGAA
rnacentral:rRNA from 1 species